UUAAAGGACAAUUCCGGUAUUUUGAACAUUGAGCCCCCUUUCUGGUUUGUUUAGGAUGAAAUAGAGUGGGUGACACCGAAAUUUGAACUAUUAGUCCUUUCUCGGGUAUUUGGCUCAUUUUGAAUCGCUCCUGCCUGCUUCACAAUGGUUGUCUGUGUGCAUACACAAACCUGUCAACCCAGCAACCCUAAACGUUCGUUUUCAAAAAUGUGCAAGUAACCGAGUGGUUAGUGGCAUUCGUGAAGUUUAAAAAAAUUAUAUCGGCGCAAUAUAUGGUUUCUGUCCGUGUUAGUUGCUAAAUUGAACUAUUUUUUCAGAUACCUCACAACCGCAUAUAAACUUCCGCACAAGGUCCCACUCCGUGCAGCACCUACUUUCGACUUCCGUCGGCAUCUGCCUGCACUUCCCACAGGCACACCACCCGCCCGCGCCUCCGUAGCCCUAGCCUCCAUCUCACGUAGCUCCUCUUGGGUGAAUUCUGGUUCAAAACGAUAUCCUCUGCCGUCAAAAUCGAGUGCGUCCUCCAGAAGCCACCUUUCAUAAUCCAUUUUCAGUGAUUUUCUAUGUGAUUUUCCCUAAUCCGAAGUGCUCACGGUACAAGACUUCAAACCAACGUAAACAGCCCACCUUUCCGGUUCGGCGGAGUAAUAUCAUCGUGCAGUAAUGAGUCUUCCAACUGAAAUCAACUGGCGAUAAAUGUGCAAUAAAACACGACAGAAACCAUA